AGAGCCGCGCACCAAGCCGAUGGCGGUGGACGCAGCAGGGCCCCGCGGUCUGAGUGCGGGCAGGCGCGCGUGGGCGUGUCUCCCUGGCCCACGCGUGUCCCCGGCAUCAGUGUCUCGGCUCUGGUCCAGGACGAAGACUUCUGAAAGCGAGCCAAGGAGAAUCACAGUUCUUAACGGAGCCCCUGACUGCCCGGUGGAAGGAGGUGAUUUAGAAGACAGUGAGUUGAUCUGGGGCAAAGUGAAGCAUCAGUAGCGCCUUCCAUCCCUUCACCUCACCUGGAUCUCUUCACUUCACUCCACGUCUGUCGUCUCCCAUGCAUGAAGCAACAUGGCCAAGUGAAGCUGCAACCAGUAAAGUCCUCCCAAUAGAACAUUUCUUCCUGAGCCAACCUAUCAGUGCAGCUCUGGAAGCAAAUGACCUCUCCUGGCAGAGCCUUCACUGUGUGGGGAACAUCAGAUUUGUGUAAAGAAGGAUGUUUCUUGGCUUCAAACCAUUUGGAUAAGUGAUGGCAGCAAGCUUCGCCACUGUAAAGUCACCUCUUUGUAAGAAGACAGGAGCUCUUUGUAAAGAAUAUGAGACCUGAGGCUGGGGGAUGGCUGAGAAGGGAAAAGCACCUCUGCACAAGCGUGAGAAAAGGAGUUUGUUCUUCCACAUCCAUGUAGAAAUCUUGAUGCCGUGCCGUGAACCCCAGCUCUCCUACGGGAAGAUGGGAGGCGUAGACAGGAGUUCAUCUGGAAGCUUGAGGCCAGCCACCCAGAUCCUCAGAGCUGCAGACAAAAGAGAGGCCCUGCAGCAAAAGAGUGGAAGGUGAGAACCAACUCCGGAAAGUUGCCCUCUGACCUUUACAAGUGUAUACAUCCACACACAUACAAUAAAAUCAAUUGCUCAAUCACGUA
rnacentral:lncRNA from 1 species